GUUUGUGAAAAACAGCAUGCUAGAAUGUUAUGUUAGUUCUGAGAUUCUAGAUGAUGCUUGAUGUUGAAACUAUGCUUUACUUCUGCAUGCCUGUAGUGUCAAAUAUUGUCGAGGGACAGGUAGUUGUCAGAGCUAGAUGCUUCAGAUCCAUGAAGAAAAAUGAGGAACCGCACAAGCUGCAGGUUUGAAACAGUCAGAAAGCCGGUUGGCUCUUGUUCGUUGGUUCGAGUUCCUGUUCAUGUUUGACGGCUGAAGAACUUUCACGUACGACUUCUGGACUACUUAGAGCUUAUUCUAACAUUUUCCUGUUCAGUUGUUACUAUUUGUUUUAUGUUUCUGUUGCGGUUGCAACAUAAUCUGUGUUUUCUUUCUGCUGUUGUUGAACCUUACCUUCAAACUAGAAUAUAUUACGUGUUUAAAGCUAAACAUGCUAAAUGUAUUGAUGUACAAAUUUGUUGCUAAAACACUUCUCUGUUUUAGAUAUCACUGGGUGUUGGAAAAGAAAAGGCAGAAUUGUUGGAUUAUUCCUGUAGCUGUGCAGCUGGUAAAUGUUUUUGCAAUCAUGUAGUUGCACUUCUUUACCAGACUGCACACUACUCCCAACUCCAGCUGCCAAAUGUUCAUGCUGCACUGGCCUGCACUAGUGAGUUACAAAGAUGGCACAGACCAAGAACACUGGGGAUACAUCCUGAACCUGUCAGCGACAUGGUGGUGCGGAAGCCCAAAACUAUGGGGAAAAGAUAUCUGCACUCCACACUUUACAGAGCUUACACAGGGCCGCUUCCAGAUCCCGACAUUCUGGCAUCAGGAGAAAAACUACGGCAGCUGGAGUCCCCACCACUUAUCGCUCUUGUCCUAGAUGGUCUUUCUAAUUUGGAGCUGGUUCCAUCCAAAUUUGGGCCUGUGCCACAGGGCUCACCUAUGUCU